AUUGAACGCUGGCGGCAGGCCUAACACAUGCAAGUCGAACGGUAACAGGAAGCAGCUUGCUGCUUCGCUGACGAGUGGCGGACGGGUGAGUAAUGUCUGGGAAACUGCCUGAUGGAGGGGGAUAACUACUGGAAACGGUAGCUAAUACCGCAUAACGUCGCAAGACCAAAGAGGGGGACCUUCGGGCCUCUUGCCAUCGGAUGUGCCCAGAUGGGAUUAGCUAGUAGGUGGGGUAACGGCUCACCUAGGCGACGAUCCCUAGCUGGGCUGAGAGGAUGACCAGCCACACUGGAACUGAGACACGGUCCAGACUCCUACGGGAGGCAGCAGUGGGGAAUAUUGCACAAUGGGCGCAAGCCUGAUGCAGCCAUGCCGCGUGUAUGAAGAAGGCCUUCGGGUUGUAAAGUACUUUCAGCGGGGAGGAAGGCGACAGGGUUAAUAACCCUGUCGAUUGACGUUACCCGCAGAAGAAGCACCGGCUAACUCCGUGCCAGCCGCCGCUGUAAAAC
rnacentral:rRNA from 1 species